rnacentral:rRNA from 1 species
UGGGGAAUAUUGGACAAUGGGCGCAAGCCUGAUCCAGCCAUGCCGCGUGGGUGAUGAAGGCCCUAGGGUUGUAAAGCCCUUUCGGCGGGGAAGAUAAUGACGGUACCCGCAGAAGAAGCCCCGGCUAACUUCGUGCCAGCAGCCGCGGUAAUACGAAGGGGGCUAGCGUUGCUCGGAAUUACUGGGCGUAAAGCGCACGUAGGCGGCUUCUUAAGUCGGUGGUGAAAUCCUGGAGCUCAACUCCAGAACUGCCUUCGAUACUGGGAAGCUCGAGUCCGGGAGAGGUGAGUGGAACUGCGAGUGUAGAGGUGAAAUUCGUAGAUAUUCGCAAGAACACCAGUGGCGAAGGCGGCUCACUGGCCCGGUACUGACGCUGAGGUGCGAAAGCGUGGGGAGCAAACAGGAUUAGAUACCCCUGUAGUCC